GAGGGUAUAGCUCAGUGGUAGAGCGUGUGCUUAGCGUGCAUGAGGUCCUGGGUUCAGUCCCCGGUACCUUCA
rnacentral:tRNA from 1 species